rnacentral:lncRNA from 10 species
CACCGCAAGGACUGGAGAAGGGGAAAAGAGAAGGUUUUGUCCCUUCAGUUUCCAUAAAUGAGAAGCAACUGUCACCCACCAAAACUCCAUACCAAUGGAGCAUUCCCCAAAAGAAGGAGUCUCACUCUGUCGUCCAGGCUGGAGUGCAGUGGCACAAUCUCGGCUCACUGCAAGCUCUGCCUCCCAGGUUCACGCCAUUCUCCUGCCUCAGUCUCCCAAGUAGCUGCACUGAUGAGGAAACUGAAACAGAAAAUCCAGAGUAAAUUCCACCAGGCCACACAGCAAGGUCUGAUAGAGCCAGGAGAGACUUUAUGAAAUCCAGACUCUCACACUAAUGCUCUAUCAGCUAGACCUCCAUGUGAGUCUCCCCAAUGUAGGUAGGAAGUGCUUUCCCUAAAAUGCUCAUAAAGCAAAUCAGAGCAAUGCUGCAUUCCAUGUGAUUUCUAAUUUGAAAUGCAAACAAUUGCCAAUUUGUUUGACUUGUAUUUAUAAUUAUUUCCUUGUGAAUUACUCAUCACUAAAUGCUUUAUAAAUAUUUUCUCUUUUUUUCCUCAAUGUCUAUGGAAUGAUCACAGCAUAGAAAAUGUUGGCUUUCAAGGAUUUAUUAAUAUCUCCUUUUGAAAUAACAUGUAUUUGUAAGACAGAAUAAAAUCA